CGACCCCAGUCAGGCGGGAUUACCCGCUGAAUUUAA
rnacentral:rRNA from 1 species